GUAACAGACUAGAAGUGGGCUGCAUGUGGACUGGUAAGAGAAGAGUUAGAAUAAGAAAAAUAAAAAUGACAUUAAGAGGACCAGCUUUGGAAAUGGACAUGGGUGGUGACGUUUAACAGAAGUGGAGAGAAAUGGGCAGGUGCUGCCCAGGAAAGAAGGGAGUCUGGUUCAACACAGCUUCAACUGCAGAGCUCCCAGGAAGGAUGAGAGAGAGUGGAAGUCUCAGCUCAGAGGCACACAUGUGAUCCUUCCGAACAGACUGUCUUAUUUGUCCUAUCCUCAGCACAAGCCCACAGCCCUCAGUGAUUUCUUCAGCAGAUAAGUGCGUCUCUCACUCUGCAGCAAAGAAGCCUCUCUAUUCUGCAAGCAGAGACCACUACAGAACACCACAACUGGUCAAAAUAAAGAGAACAGCUGAUCAUGGGUUGCCCAGCCUCAAAGGAUAUGCCAAUAAUACAUUGCAAUUCCUGUAUCUGAAGCUCAGGGAACCUUGUGGAAGAGGAGGUGGAAAGAUAAGAUUGUGAGGACCAGAGUACCAGGCAACCUGUUGUGACAUUGUGACUCCUAGAAAAGACUGGGAUAUUUCAAUCAUGACACCUGAACAAUAUGGCUGCCUACAAAAGACCUGAACAAAGACAGGGACACAAAUGGAUGGAGCGGUGAGGGAGAAGAGAACACCUUCCAAGCCCUCCAGAUCACUGAAUCAACCCUGGCAAUCAAUGGUGUGGAAGGUGUUUCAGCUAGAUUGCCUUCAUAUACUCUAUAAUAUCCCUUUUAAGUUUUCAGUAACCUCCAGCGUUUGGCCCUCAGCUUCAAGACAGCGUGGACAGCCUAUCAGACUGACGGUGAUGCUGGAGGAGAGGAUGCUCUGGGUUGGUUGGAAUAUGCCUUUCUCUGCCUGAAGACAAACCUUAGAAACCAACCACCUACUCAUCUUCUCUAUAAACCGAUGGACAACGAAGGACAAAGAAACACAAGCUGGGUAAACUGAGGGAAGAAUCACCAAUCCAGCUGUGAAUAAAGGUGUCAUACAGAGGAACUGAACAGCCCAGAGCACAUGCAAGCAGUUUACUGAGCAAGUCUACAGAUACUGAUACUCAAGUGCACUAGGAAGCAUUUUGGCAUCAAAAGCCAGGACUAGUAGGUGGAAUAGGAAAGA